CAAGGGUUGUGUUGUGCCCUUUGCUGGGCGCUGGACGUUCCAGCUGGAGCCUGGGCUGUGACAUCACAGUUCCCAGGCUCCAUCUGAAGUGGACAGUGGAGACCAUGGAAUGAUGGAGUCCCUGAAUGGUUGGGCUUGGAAGGGAGCCUGAAGAAACAUCUUGUUCCAAGCUGAGCAAUCUUCCCCCAGAGCAGGCUGCUCAGAGCCCUGUUCCCAAGGAUGGGGCAUGCACAGCCUCUGUGCACAGCCCGGGCCAGUGCCCCACCCCCCCCAGUGGAAAAGAGCAGCUUCCUCACAUGCAGCUUCAAUCAUCCUGCUGCAGCUGAAAGCCAUCCCCCUUGUCCUGUCAGCACAGGCCCUGCUGAACACUCUGUCCCCUUCUUUCCUGUGGGAGCCUUCCAGUCCUGCACAGCCACAGGGAGGCCUCCCAGUGUCUCCUGUCUCCAGGCUGAGCAUCCCCAGCCCCACUUGCCCAGCAGUCAGUCACAUCAGGGCCAGUCAAGGCUGAAGGGUAGCAAAUAGCAUCAGGAACUGAGAGAUGUAAGCUUUAGACCCAGGUUUUUCUGUUUGAAAGGAAGCUUGGCACAAUGUCCAUUGUCUUCUCCAUUUGUGAAACACCAAGCGGAGUCUGGGCAGGCUGAUGAUGCAGAGCAAAACCUGAAAAUAUACUAGUGAUCCUGAGCCUGGGGGAUGCAGCUAAACCCAGCCAAAAGGAAUUUCUGAAAAGCUGAUCCUGGUUUACAUUAUCUUGAGUUUGGCUUUGCCAACUUCACCAGUCAUUUAUGAAAAAGCAAACAAAAAACUCAAGCCAAAUCAGACAUAAACCCAAACAAACAAACAAACAAACAAACCCAUGCAGCAAACCAAUCAAACAAACAGAUAUAAAAACCCCAAAUAAAACCAAAGGAAAUGAA